AUGAACUUCGCUGCCCUGGGCAGCAAAAUCUUCAUGGCAAGCAACAAACACCCUAGCACCAUGGUCUACGACACAGAGACAGCUGGACUGGCCAUCGGCCCUCCUCUUCCGGCCGGACUGCACGGCGGUAUCCACAUCUUUGUGGCUACUGCCAACACGCAGUUGUAUGUGUUGAAGUAUAGCAUCAAGGAAAUGCGACAGUCAUUUCAGGUGCUGUCCGCGGUCGGCAUCACGUAUCCCCAUUCUUCAAAUCCAAGCACGGACUGGUGUUGGACAAGCGUGCCCUCUCCAGUGCCAUUCACCAAGGAUGACAUGAUCACCUCCUAUUUCCAAGGACAAGGCUACUUUGACAGUGAGUUGGAUGCAUGGGUUGGCCUUCACAAGGAUGGGUACAUUUGUUCCUGCCAAGCCGCUUCCUGCACCAACACAGUUACCAUGCAGCCGGACUGGAAGACGACUAAGGAGAAACUUUUCCUCACGUACAUGCGGAACACCAGGUUUUGCCUUGUGGAGAGUGUGGUAUGUGAAGAAGUGGAGUUAGAUGAUGCCUUUGGUGACUGUAAUGGCUUCAUGCUCUGCAUCACCAUUUUUUGUCUCAAGUACAAUCGUGAGGGAGAGCUGCAAACCACCAUCCGCCGCACCACCAAAUCCUAUCAAGUGUCUAAGCAUGUCACGUCAUUUUCUCCCGUGGCGUUCUAG
rnacentral:rRNA from 1 species